CUCCUCUCAAGGUCACAUCUGGAGAGUGUCCAGUACUCUACCAUUCUUGACUACAGGAGGGAGAGUCAAGAGACCUUUCCAUUCCGUUCCUAGCUUGAGCAGUGGCUAGUGAGUGGAAGGCAAUCUGCUACAAGU